rnacentral:rRNA from 1 species
GAUGAACGCUAGCUACAGGCUUAACACAUGCAAGUCGAGGGGAAACGACAUCGAAAGCUUGCUUUUGAUGGGCGUCGACCGGCGCACGGGUGAGUAACGCGUAUCCAACCUGCCCAUCACUUGGGAAUAACCUUGCGAAAGUAAGACUAAUACCCAAUGACAUCCCACGAAGACAUCUGAAUGGGAUUAAAGAUUUAUCGGUGAUGGAUGGGGAUGCGUCUGAUUAGCUUGUUGGCGGGGUAACGGCCCACCAAGGCAACGAUCAGUAGGGGUUCUGAGAGGAAGGUCCCCCACAUUGGAACUGAGACACGGUCCAAACUCCUACGGGAGGCAGCAGUGAGGAAUAUUGGUCAAUGGGCGAGAGCCUGAACCAGCCAAGUAGCGUGCAGGAUGACGGCCCUAUGGGUUGUAAACUGCUUUUAUAAGGGAAUAAAGUGGGUCUCGUGAGACUUUUUGCAUGUACCUGAUGAAUAAGGACCGGCUAAUUCCGUG